UCUAUUUUUCCUUCUCAAUCCCUCCCCUUCCUGCAAAAAUAAAAAAACCCCAAACAAGGCCUAAAAUUUUCUUUGCUCGAGGAGUGAUUCAGAGUGGGUUGUCUGCCACUGCGUCGAUUGGAGUCUCUCGUGUUGCUCACAUGAACUGAAAUGGUUCUCGGCUUCUCGCAUUGCUGGCCUGAAACUGAGAUUGAAAGCUGCGUGGGUACUUGGAGGUUGCAUUUUCACUGAUUUGCUUUCGAGCUUCGUUCUCCCUCACUUGCCUCAGGAAAAGACCCGGUUAGAAGGAAAUUGUACGUCUUGGUGUGACAAAUUGCAUUGAACUUCCCAUCUACGACGGAAGGUGCCCUACGGCGUGAGACGGCAUGCCAAGGGCCGACGCGAGGAUCAGCGCCUUCACUAUUUUCAUUUGCAGAACGGUUCCUUGAGAAUGGAGGGCUUAGAUGAUUUUUGAGUGUUUGAUGUAUCUCACGGUUGUGAUUAAACUAGGGGCACCUGCAUGUUACCAAUUCCCACUCCCUUUCACGGGCACGGUCAAAGUCGAAGCGUUAAAAUGGAACAUGGAUUGGGCUUACCACUUGCUUCAGAUGAUGAUGGAGACAAAGAAUAUUUAAUGGAGUUGAGUAUAAA